UGUGAGACAAUAUAUUUUUCACGAAGCUUAUGGUUGCCUCUUACAUUUUGUUUUAAUGCCAAUAUUUUCGAUAAAUCAAAAAUUCUUUUUCUGCGAGAUCAUGCGACUAAGCGACUUUACGGUUCUUUAUUACCGUCUUUACGAGGAAGAAGGAAGUUCACUCACUCGAACUCAGCCAAUAGUUUCUUGUUUAAAUACUAUGGUACCAGUGAAUCCACGUAGAAAAAUAGAAUACGAAUUUUGUACUUGCCCCAAAAUGAAUGAUGAGAUUAAUGAACUUAAAAAAAAGAAAAACAAAGCAUUUUCACUUUUUAUGACAACACCAAGAAUUGCCACGAUACCAAAUCGGAUAAUUGACACGAAGAUAGUCGUCGUAGGUGCUUCCGAUUGUGGCAUAGCUUUCAUCGAAUUUUUAGCAUUAGGAUAUCUACAAAAUUUUGUCCACUUUACAAAUCUCACUUUGAUUUCAUUGAAUGGAUUACCAUAUGAAAAGGAAUAUAAUGAUCUUAAAUGGGAUAUGAUCCCAUUUAAGGGAAGAUAUUGUCGUGAUUAUCGGUACCUUAUAACAAGACGUGCUUGGAUUAAUGUCGUUUACGGAACAUUGCAAACGAUUAAUAGGAAGGAUAAAUACGUGACUGUAAUGGAUCAAGGAAACUUGAGUUACGACUUUCUGAUCUUAACUUGUGGUCUCCAAUACCAAAAGACAUUGUUCACGAAUAAGAAAAUACAGGAAGACAAGGAAGCUGAUAUAAUAAAAUCAGAUAUAAUUUGGAAUUGUUUGACUAUAAACGAUGAUAUAGAAGCAUUCGUUUCAUUAAAAAAAAUUCAAUCGGUAACAAAUAAUUUCAAAGAAAAAAAGGCCAUUGUGUUUUAUGGACACAAUAUCGAUUGUUACUGCGCCAUUCAUGGAUUGAUGAAACAUGGAAUGAAAGGUUCUUGGAUCACUUUGAUCGAGCCUAAAUUAAACCUAUGUGAUACUGACAAUAAUUUUUUUCAUAAUUGUGAAGUGAACACAGCCAUAAAAAAUUCUGUUCUGGAGAAUGAAAUAAACCUUCUUUUGGGAUGGAAUGUAAUUAAUUGGACAUUGUUAGAGGAAUAUAAAAAUUAUAAAAGAAUUGAAUCAAUCAUUAUAAGAUCAGGAGCUAAUGUCGAAAUCGUUCCUUGUGACUUUUUUUUCAAUUUUUAUGACAAAGAGAUUGAUAUCAAUUCUUUUUUAGCAAUUUGUCGUGCUGGUUUAGUAUUCGACGGUCGUCUGGUGAUAAAUCCUCAAUUUCGUACAAACGAUCCAUUUAUAUUCGCAGCUGGAACCAUAACCAAGUACUCAAGAAAAUUUCAAGCCGAAUUGUUCGAGCAUAAAUAUUAUAAUAGUAUAGAGAUUGGCGAAAAACUUGGUAAAAUUAUUCGCAAAGUGGUAGAUGUCUAUCAAGAAUGUAAAGGAAAAUACGAUAAUUACGACAGAAAUAAAUCGUGCUUGUUAUUACCGGAAUUUCGAUCACCAAUCAUUGUAUCCUGUAUGUUACCUGGUAAUUUUCAUUAUCUUUACGUCACCAAACCAGGAAAGAAGUUAUCUCGUGACAUUGUUUUAAAACAAUCUCUUUAUGGCGAUGUCAUGGUGACAGGUAACUGCUUAUCCGAAAUUGGUUAUUUCCGUUUACGUAUGAAUGUUCGGAACAUCGUAGAAUCAAUAACUUGUUGCAGUAAAAAGAAUUUCGAAAUAAAUCACUUGAUCACUUUAUACGGAAAACACGACAGUAUGUUAAACGAAGUUAAAUAUCGUUUCAGAAAUUCCCUUAUCUUGGACUUUUAUGCAUACUUCCGGGAGCCAUGGGCGAUGGCACUUUUUAAUGACAGAUUCGAAUGUUUGCGAGUCGAAAAUCGUGCCACUUUAUUAUCCAAAACGAAUGUUUCCGGUGAUUCCUUAGUCGAAGAUUGCUUGCGUGCUUUGUUAAAAUCCAAAACGGGAGAGAUAAUUUUUUGAAAGAUGCAUCCAUCGUCGAAAAAUACAUGGAAAUCAGCAUACUAUUACAAUGCCGAUAACAAUUACGCUUUUUAUCGCACGACCUCUAUUAAUUUGGAAGAUGCGAAUAAAUCGAUUAAACCAGAUCGAAACGAAGAAAUCUCUUCUCUUUAAAUGAAUAAGUAGAUUAAACAUUCCAGUUUUAAUAAGAUGCAUACUAUCGUGAUUAGUCCGUGGAAAAAUGUAAGAAUGUUGUAUCGAAGCAAAACACGACUGCGAUUAUGAUUAUGAUAUGGAAAAAAGUGUAAAAAUGUUACGUAGGUGAUCUACUCGCCAAUGACUACUGUUUACGGAUUGCGGACGAGCAACCACUGCGUUAUAAUUUUCAAGGCAAAAGCAUCUUUAUUCUUUGAUGUUUUUGUCGAAAGAAAAAAUUAAAAGUUAAGAGAUUAUUCUUUAGAAUAUAUAAGAACCUCCGGUAAUUAUAAAAGCGAUCUAAGUCAUAUGUUUUGUUUUUUAUUUUUCAUUUUAAGAUAUUUUAACAUUAGGAGUUGAAUUAUUAAAAAAUUAUUUUUCUAUAUUGACAAACAUAAAAAAAGUAAAUAAAAUUUAUUUCUAAGAAAAAUAAUGCUUAUAUGUAAUUUAAACGUUUUUAAAAUAGCGUGUGCGCCAAAACAUAUUUAUUAUCUCAAAUAACUUGGACUAUUUUCAAAAUUAAUGAAAAAUUCAAAAAAGAAUUUCGCGUCGGAAUAUCUAUAAAGCACAUUGUUUAUAAUCACAAAAUUUUAAAUAUGUGAACUAAUAAUUUAAAAUGAAUAUUAUUCAUCACCUAAUAGUAUUUACUUCUUUACAAAAUCAAAAUUUCUAGUAUAACAAGUAAUUUAUACAAUAAUUAAAAUAAAAAUAAAUUGAAUGUUAUUAAACGAAAAAAAUUAUCGCUAUUAUAAAAAAGCAUUAUUUAAAACUUU